GGUUAAGCGACUAAGCGUACACGGUGGAUGCCCUGGCAGUCAGAGGCGAUGAAGGACGUGCUAAUCUGCGAUAAGCGUCGGUAAGGUGAUAUGAACCGUUAUAACCGGCGAUUUCCGAAUGGGGAAACCCAGUGUGAUUCGUCACACUAUCAUUAACUGAAUCCAUAGGUUAAUGAGGCGAACCGGGGGAACUGAAACAUCUAAGUACCCCGAGGAAAAGAAAUCAACCGAGAUUCCCCCAGUAGCGGCGAGCGAACGGGGAGCAGCCCAGAGCCUGAAUCAGUGUGUGUGUUAGUGGAAGCGUCUGGAAAGGCGCGCGAUACAGGGUGACAGCCCCGUACACAAAAAUGCACAUGCUGUGAGCUCGAUGAGUAGGGCGGGACACGUGGUAUCCUGUCUGAAUAUGGGGGGACCAUCCUCCAAGGCUAAAUACUCCUGACUGACCGAUAGUGAACCAGUACCGUGAGGGAAAGGCGAAAAGAACCCCGGCGAGGGGAGUGAAAAAGAACCUGAAACCGUGUACGUACAAGCAGUGGGAGCACAGAGCAAUCUGUGUGACUGCGUACCUUUUGUAUAAUGGGUCAGCGACUUAUAUUCUGUAGCAAGGUUAACCGAAUAGGGGAGCCGAAGGGAAACCGAGUCUUAACUGGGCGUUAAGUUGCAGGGUAUAGACCCGAAACCCGGUGAUCUAGCCAUGGGCAGGUUGAAGGUUGGGUAACACUAACUGGAGGACCGAACCGACUAAUGUUGAAAAAUUAGCGGAUGACUUGUGGCUGGGGGUGAAAGGCCAAUCAAACCGGGAGAUAGCUGGUUCUCCCCGAAAGCUAUUUAGGUAGCGCCUCGUGAAUUCAUCUCCGGGGGUAGAGCACUGUUUCGGCAAGGGGGUCAUCCCGACUUACCAACCCGAUGCAAACUGCGAAUACCGGAGAAUGUUAUCACGGGAGACACACGGCGGGUGCUAACGUCCGUCGUGAAGAGGGAAACAACCCAGACCGCCAGCUAAGGUCCCAAAGUCAUGGUUAAGUGGGAAACGAUGUGGGAAGGCCCAGACAGCCAGGAUGUUGGCUUAGAAGCAGCCAUCAUUUAAAGAAAGCGUAAUAGCUCACUGGUCGAGUCGGCCUGCGCGGAAGAUGUAACGGGGCUAAACCAUGCACCGAAGCUGCGGCAGCGACACUGUGUGUUGUUGGGUAGGGGAGCGUUCUGUAAGCCUGCGAAGGUGUGCUGUGAGGCAUGCUGGAGGUAUCAGAAGUGCGAAUGCUGACAUAAGUAACGAUAAAGCGGGUGAAAAGCCCGCUCGCCGGAAGACCAAGGGUUCCUGUCCAACGUUAAUCGGGGCAGGGUGAGUCGACCCCUAAGGCGAGGCCGAAAGGCGUAGUCGAUGGGAAACAGGUUAAUAUUCCUGUACUUGGUGUUACUGCGAAGGGGGGACGGAGAAGGCUAUGUUGGCCGGGCGACGGUUGUCCCGGUUUAAGCGUGUAGGCUGGUUUUCCAGGCAAAUCCGGAAAAUCAAGGCUGAGGCGUGAUGACGAGGCACUACGGUGCUGAAGCAACAAAUGCCCUGCUUCCAGGAAAAGCCUCUAAGCAUCAGGUAACAUCAAAUCGUACCCCAAACCGACACAGGUGGUCAGGUAGAGAAUACCAAGGCGCUUGAGAGAACUCGGGUGAAGGAACUAGGCAAAAUGGUGCCGUAACUUCGGGAGAAGGCACGCUGAUAUGUAGGUGAAGUCCCUCGCGGAUGGAGCUGAAAUCAGUCGAAGAUACCAGCUGGCUGCAACUGUUUAUUAAAAACACAGCACUGUGCAAACACGAAAGUGGACGUAUACGGUGUGACGCCUGCCCGGUGCCGGAAGGUUAAUUGAUGGGGUUAGCGCAAGCGAAGCUCUUGAUCGAAGCCCCGGUAAACGGCGGCCGUAACUAUAACGGUCCUAAGGUAGCGAAAUUCCUUGUCGGGUAAGUUCCGACCUGCACGAAUGGCGUAAUGAUGGCCAGGCUGUCUCCACCCGAGACUCAGUGAAAUUGAACUCGCUGUGAAGAUGCAGUGUACCCGCGGCAAGACGGAAAGACCCCGUGAACCUUUACUAUAGCUUGACACUGAACAUUGAGCCUUGAUGUGUAGGAUAGGUGGGAGGCUUUGAAGUGUGGACGCCAGUCUGCAUGGAGCCGACCUUGAAAUACCACCCUUUAAUGUUUGAUGUUCUAACGUGGACCCGUGAUCCGGGUUGCGGACAGUGUCUGGUGGGUAGUUUGACUGGGGCGGUCUCCUCCUAAAGAGUAACGGAGGAGCACGAAGGUUGGCUAAUCCUGGUCGGACAUCAGGAGGUUAGUGCAAUGGCAUAAGCCAGCUUGACUGCGAGCGUGACGGCGCGAGCAGGUGCGAAAGCAGGUCAUAGUGAUCCGGUGGUUCUGAAUGGAAGGGCCAUCGCUCAACGGAUAAAAGGUACUCCGGGGAUAACAGGCUGAUACCGCCCAAGAGUUCAUAUCGACGGCGGUGUUUGGCACCUCGAUGUCGGCUCAUCACAUCCUGGGGCUGAAGUAGGUCCCAAGGGUAUGGCUGUUCGCCAUUUAAAGUGGUACGCGAGCUGGGUUUAGAACGUCGUGAGACAGUUCGGUCCCUAUCUGCCGUGGGCGCUGGAGAACUGAGGGGGGCUGCUCCUAGUACGAGAGGACCGGAGUGGACGCAUCACUGGUGUUCGGGUUGUCAUGCCAAUGGCACUGCCCGGUAGCUAAAUGCGGAAGAGAUAAGUGCUGAAAGCAUCUAAGCACGAAACUUGCCCCGAGAUGAGUUCUCCCUGACUCCUUGAGAGUCCUGAAGGAACGUUGAAGACGACGACGUUGAUAGGCCGGGUGUGUAAGCGCAGCGAUGCGUUGAGCUAACCGGUACUAAUGAACCGUGAGGCUUAACCUU
rnacentral:rRNA from 1 species